AGUAGGUCCCAAGGGUAUGGCUGUUCGCCAUUUAAAGUGGUACGCGAGCUGGGUUUAGAACGUCGUGAGACAGUUCGGUCCCUAUCUGCCGUGGGCGCUGGAGAAUUGAGGGGGGCUGCUCCUAGUACGAGAGGACCGGAGUGGACGCAUCACUGGUGUUCGGGUUGUCAUGCCAAUGGCACUGCCCGGUAGCUAAAUGCGGAAGAGAUAAGUGCUGAAAGCAUCUAAGCACGAAACUUGCCCCGAGAUGAGUUCUCCCUGAGACUUUAAGUCUCCUGAAGGAACGUUGAAGACKACGACGUUGAUAGGUCGGGUGUGUAAGCGCAGCGAUGCGUUGAGCUAACCGAUACUAAUGAACCGUGAGGCUUAACCUU
rnacentral:rRNA from 1 species